CUCCCAAUUUGUUAUCACAGCAUCCAAGAGAAGACACUGACUGGCAAGUCUGAGCAUGUCUCUGAAUAAGAUUAAAGUCCUCCUUGUGAUCACAGCCAUGUUGGCAGUGACCACUGGUUUCCCGGUCUCUCAAGGCAAGGAAAGAGAAGAACGAAGUGCCAGUGACAGUAAUGAACUACCUUCGCAGCUCUGUCUGCCGCCUUACCGAUAUCCAUUUGGCACAUAUCCACCAUUCCUAUAUCCAUGGCUUAGCUACUUUUAUCCUCCUAUUCCAGUACCUGGGUCUGCCCCCACACCUAUCCCUCUUAAUGAGCAGUAAAUAAGAAAAAUAAAGUGCAAUUUAAGAUGAAAUAGGUGGUCACUGUAAAAUUGAACAUGAGCCACUUCCUUGAAGAAUCAAUAUUCCUGUUAAUAAAAGAAAAAUAAAUGCAAUUGAAAUAUUAUACAGUGUUCUCUCAUUAAUGUAUUUGGCACUCCUCUUUAGUAAACAUGACAGAGAAGAUCUUGGUUUCCCAUUUUCUAAAUGUGUGUUGCUGGUAGGAAUGCAAAAUAAAUUUUAACAGAUUUGAAUAUACACUUCCUGUUGACUAACUAUUCUAGGGAAAGCAUUGGGAGUGGAGGUGACCAAAAUCAACCAGUCCUAGAAUUACCUUGAAUGAAAGUCUAUUCAGUAGCUUACGCUUGUACCUCUGCUGCUUGUAUUAAGGAGAGCAGAUGAUGA